CCUCGAGCUCGCGUGCCGCCGCCACCCCUCCUCUCUGUCCGCCGCUCGCCGCUCCCCUCCAUGGCCACUGCCCUCCGCCUCCUGUGUUGACCUCGUCCGCGUCCGGCACCUCCAUUCUGCCACGGGAAAGGACCACUCUCACCCCGUCGUUUGAGCAGCAGACCUGUGGGGAGCUCCCGGCGGCCGGCGAGGUUCUUGGGGAUCCUCAACCGCACGCAUCCAGCGAGGUCCAUGGGGAGCUGCCGAAGAAGAUUUGCAAGAAGAAGUGCGGCGAGGCCCGUGGGGUUCAGAAAUUUACGAGUGAUUCUCGUAUAGAGCAGCGGGACGGUAAUGUGGUUACCACAGACAGACAGUAUUGUAACAGCGACAGUAAAGUAUGUUUGCAUAGUAAUGAAGUUAACUGAAGUGUUAUGCAGUCA